GAUGAACGCUGGCGGCGUGCCUAAUACAUGCAAGUCGAGCGAACAGACGAGGAGCUUGCUCCUCUGACGUUAGCGGCGGACGGGUGAGUAAAACGUGGAUAACCUACCUAUAAGACUGGACUAACUUCGGGAAACCGGAGCUAAUACAGGAUAAUAUAUUUAACUGAAUGGUUCAAUAGUGAAAGACGGUUUUGCUGUCACUUAUAGAUGGAUCCGCGCCGCAUUAGCUAGUUGGUAAGGUAACGGCUUACCAAGGCAACGAUGCGUAGCCGACCUGAGAGGGUGAUCGGCCACACUGGAACUGAGACACGGUCCAGACUCCUACGGGAGGCAGCAGUAGGGAAUCUUCCGCAAGGGGCGAAAGCCUGACGGAGCAACGCCGCGUGAGUGAUGAAGGUCCUCGGAUCGUAAAACUCUGUUAUUAGGGAAGAACAAAUGUGUAAGUAACUAUGCACGUCUUGACGGUACCUAAUCAGAAAGCCACGGCUAACUACGUG
rnacentral:rRNA from 1 species